rnacentral:rRNA from 1 species
CAGCCGCCGCGGUAAAACGUAGGUGGCAAGCGUUGUCCGGAAUUAUUGGGCGUAAAGGGCUCGCAGGCGGCUUCUUAAGUCUGAUGUGAAAGCCCCCGGCUCAACCGGGGAGGGUCAUUGGAAACUGGGAAACUUGAGUGCAGAGGAGGAGAGUGGAAUUCCACGUGUAGCGGUGAAAUGCGUAGAGAUGUGGAGGAACACCAGUGGCGAAGGCGACUCUCUGGUCUGUAACUGACGCUGAGGAGCGAAAGCGUGGGGAGCGAACAGGAUUAGAUACCCGAGUAGUCCCUGUCUCUUAUAC